GACCGAGUGUCGCCGGGUAUAAGUCGAUAAGUAGCUAAAGAAAGAUUAGUGUCCAGCCAUCCAGUUGGACACCGACACCAGAGAGCUGUACUUCUCUCUCUUCAAGUCUUGUAUGCAGUAGCAUAUCGAGCAUUAGUGUCAUUAGAACUCUUGAUUGGCAGGGGGAAUGGUUCAAGUAGGGAGUUGUUGAGAUAGAAAAAUCAUCGCUUAUUUGAAUUUUAAAUUUCAGUGAUUUAUUCCGAUCGCUGUUCUCCACCUGCCGGAAUUCACAUAAAAAUCUACUUCUUUUACAGUGGAAUCUUUUCCAACUCCUGUAUUGAACUCGAAAAUAGAGUGGGGGGAAGUAAAACAUUGCGCGUGUUAUCUGCCAUUAAUUUUCCACGUCUUCAUUUGGAUGUUGCACAUUAUUUAUUUGGAUCGUUGAUAACGAUAGACGUUCUACAUUGCAUCGAAAAACCAGCAUAGAACAACUCUAUCGUGAAUUUCAGUGAGUAUAUUUAUUCGUAAUGGCAAGAGUAGUUAAUUCGUCGACUCUGGAUCAGCACGAGACGAAAAAGGAUAUAGGAAGAAGAGAUGCAAUACCAAUCAUCCAUACCAGGGGAACUCACUACGAAAUUGGAUACGAUAUUGGUCGGACUUUUGCAAAAAUGAUCAAUGACUUUGUCGAUCGUUAUGGGCCACUGCAUAAGUCUUAUCUCGAUCUGUAUAGUACUAAGGAAGGAAGGAAGGUGUAUGAGGAGACUUUAACGUCAGUGAAGACACAAUUUCCUGAGUAUGUGCGGGAGAUUGAGGGAACAGCUGAUGGAUCAAAUGUUCCAUUCUAUAAGCUUUUCCUUAUGCACCUUGACGAUAUCCUUCCCAAUGUCGUCGAUGGGGAAGGUAUCAGUACAAAUCAACCUGUCGGCUGUUCAUCCAUCGUGUGCAAUUAUCCCGGACAGGAAAUUUUGGGACAUAACGAGGACGCUCUCGCUGAGACCUUGAACUUCUGGUACAUCGCGAGCGUUCACGUGACGGAACCCGGAUUUAGAGAAGAAAAAUUCUCUUCCCUCUGUUACGCUGGAUUCCUCCCUGGGUACACGAUGGGCUUUAACAAUCAUGGACUCGUUUUUUGUGUUAAUACACUGAGUGCAAGGACAUUGAGAUCCGGAAAAACACCGAGAUAUUUCCUGGCUCGAUCACUUCUGGGAGUCGCUAACUUCGAGCAAGCCCAGAAAACACUGAGGAAUAAGGGAUAUGGAGCCGCUGAGGGAUUCUCAGUUAAUAUGACGUUUUUGGAUCAAGAGGGAGAUAGGAUGUUUCAUAAUGCUGAGGUGGGACCUGUGGAGGUCGAUUCCUAUGAGUCGCAGCUCAGUAUCUACACGGCUAGCCCUGGGGAGAAUAUUACCCACUGCAAUAAAUAUCUUCGAUUGAAAGUACCAGAGGUAGAGGGAGUAAUAAUAACAAGCAGUGAGCAUAGACAUGCUACCAUUGCUCGUCACCCACCUCCAAGAACUCGUCGAGAGGUCAUGGACAUUUUGAGCGAUCAAACUGACAACGAGUACCGAGUCUAUCAAGACUUUGGACCUGACGAUUACGUGAAGACAAUUGCAACUGGCAUAUUCGACUGUGUGAAAAGAACAUGGUCGAUCUACACAGACAAACCAAAAUUCAACGAACCCCUUGUCGUCAUACCCAUCCGCACCGAGACACACUAAUUCUUGCUACAAUUAUCCAUUCACCCCAUUUACAACUGGAGGGUUUAGGUAUGAUGUAAAGGCAUGCUAAACCCGGAGAUGUCAUAAUUCAAGUGAUGCGCCGACAAUAUUUUAUGGAUUUAUAAAAAAAUAUAGUUGUACCUUGGAUUAAUUAACGACAGAAUGUGGGGACAGUGACUUUUGGGCGCUUGUUUGAUGACAUUUCAGAAAAAAAUUCCUUUAUGUCCUCCUCACGUACUACUUUCUUGUUCUCCACGAAUUUCUUCAGGUACUGCUUCAAGUGGUCCUUCAUGUUGUUAUAUUCUAUGAAAUAAAAUUAAUUUGUCAAAUAAAGAACAAUACUCCGAA